GACGAACGCUGGCGGCGUGCUUAACACAUGCAAGUCGAACGGAAAGGCCCUGCUUUUGUGGGGUGCUCGAGUGGCGAACGGGUGAGUAACACGUGAGUAACCUGCCCUUGACUUUGGGAUAACUUCAGGAAACUGGGGCUAAUACCGGAUAGGAGCUCCUGCUGCAUGGUGGGGGUUGGAAAGUUUCGGCGGUUGGGGAUGGACUCGCGGCUUAUCAGCUUGUUGGUGGGGUAGUGGCUUACCAAGGCUUUGACGGGUAGCCGGCCUGAGAGGGUGACCGGCCAAAUGGGGACUGGGAACGGGCCCAGACUCCAAGGGGGGGAAGGGGGGGGAAAAAUGGCAAAAGGGGGGGAAGCGUGAAGGAGCAACGCCGGGGGGGGAAGGAGGGCCUUGGGGUUGUAAACGGCUUUGGCCGGGAACGAGGGGGGAGUAAGGGAAAUGGGGAAAAAAAAACGGCCAAAAUAGGG
rnacentral:rRNA from 1 species